UACGUAGGUGGCGAGCGUUGUCCGGAUUUACUGGGCGUAAAGGGCGUGCAGGCGGUUUGUUAAGUGCAGGGUGAAAGCUCCCGGCUCAACUGGGAGAGGUCCUUGCAUACUGGCGAACUCGAGGGAGGCAGAGGAAAGUGGAAUUCCCGGUGUAGUGGUGAUAUGCGUAGAUAUCGGGAGGAACACCUGUGGCGAAGGCGGCAUCCUGGACCGACACUGACGCUGAGGAGCGAAAGCCAGGGGAGCAAACAGG
rnacentral:rRNA from 1 species